UAAAAGGAUGAACUGAGGAAUACCCCUGCUCCCCCUGCUCUCUCACCUGAGAAGAUAGCACUGGAUAUCCCCAGUGGCCUGGCAAAGUUCAUGGGUCUGUGGGAACCUCUGGAUUACUACAUGCUUUUGUAAAAAUAGGAGGUGACACAGGCGAUGGGAGAAUAGAAGGCUGCUGGUCUGCAAGGAGCACUGUUUAGAGGAUGUGUUCUGGGCCAGGACCCAAAUGCACGGCAAGACUUGAUGAGGCAUUGCUAGCAAGUCUAGGAAUGGCUGGGAUGCCCUCUGUGCCAUUCUGGAAGACAGAGGAUUUAUGCCUGGGCCACUUGCAGACAGCUGCCUGAAGCACUGCAGGUCCAGGCAGAAAGUUACACUUUCAAGGAUGCAGACACCAUUUCACUGACAAUUGCUUUGGAAACACAGUCCUCUGUGGUACCUAUUGAAGAAGAAAACAGGCAAGAGACUGCUCUUCAUUAUUUCUGCAUGAGUAAACUGCACACCCAGGAUUUCAGCACUCACUGUGCCUGUAGAAAUGCACAUGAAAAAUACUGUUCCAGGCAAAAUGUAUAUAUGUGGGCCUAGUCCACAGGCAGAACUUACAAUUAAUUUUAGAUUUUACCCUUUUCAGAAGUUCAGCUGUCUAAACAAGGCCAUUAUGUUUUGGCUCCUUGCCCCAGCUAUUUCUGCACAAUUCAUUAAAUCACAAGCAAGGCACACUCUGCCAGGACCUGAGGAGCUGAGAACUGCCCCAGACAGAAAGUGGUGGCUGCAGAGGAAGUGCUGAAGACCUGCUUGCCGUUACCACAGCUGAUUGUGUCCUUAAACCAAAGCAUUUGCAGAGUCUGAUGUCCUCCAAGGUCUCCAGCGCCACAGCUGUGAUGGCCAAGGCUGUUGCUUGUUGGUACUGAGCUGAUGAAAAGCUACCAGACAUUAUUCCUCUGUACAGAUGCACCAGAAGUCAGAUGUGUCUCCACAGGCCCAAAAAAACCCGAGAGUUUUGUGCAGGUGCGUGGCGUGGUAACAGCCACACAUCAGAGACUGGGGCCCUCUUUCUACCACAGCAUGGGGUGUGCUCUAAAUUCAUGGGACACUUGCAGUCCCAGCCAAGAUGAGCCUUUUGAGUGGUAGAUGCAUUUUAGAAAUAUGGGCUUCAAAUUGUUAGUUGUAGCAAACUUAUUACCUGUCGUGGACAGUCCUAAGGGACAGGCAGACCCUUCACUGUCACUGCCCUGAGUACACAGAACACUAACAUGGCAGGAUCAAGCCUGGGUCACACAUGACACUGCCACUGUCACAGUGUCUAAAGCUCUCCCAAGUGGUGGAGCAGGGCUCCCUUGCCCAACCUUGCACUGUGGAGC